AAAUUGAAGAGUUUGAUCAUGGCUCAGAUUGAACGCUGGCGGCAGGCCUAACACAUGCAAGUCGAACGGUAGCACAGAGAGCUUGCUCUCGGGUGACGAGUGGCGGACGGGUGAGUAAUGUCUGGGAAACUGCCUGAUGGAGGGGGAUAACUACUGGAAACGGUGGCUAAUACCGCAUAACGUCGCAAGACCAAAGAGGGGGACCUUCGGGCCUCUUGCCAUCAGAUGUGCCCAGAUGGGAUUAGCUUGUUGGUGAGGUAACGGCUCACCAAGGCGACGAUCCCUAGCUGGUCUGAGAGGAUGACCAGCCACACUGGAACUGAGACCGGUCCAGACUCCUACGGGAGGCAGCAGUGGGGAAUAUUGCACAAUGGGCGCAAGCCUGAUGCAGCCAUGCCGCGUGUAUGAAGAAGGCCUUCGGGUUGUAAAGUACUUUCAGCGGGGAGGAAGGUGUUGUGGUUAAUAACC
rnacentral:rRNA from 1 species